AUGCCAUGAGAUGAAUUAGGUUGUUUGCAUUAGAAUUCACGAAUAUGUUGCAUUGCAUUUAUGAUGUUGAUGUGGAUUGGUUAUUGGAUGAUCCUUUAGUCCUCAUAUGAUAUGAUGAUGUUACGGCAUGAUAUGGUAUGGAAGUCCAGGUUGUACCCAUUCUACGUCCCUGGCACGAUGUAAGAGAAAGUCCAGGUUGUACCCAUUCUAUGUCCCUGGCACAUUGGAAAUGUUAUGUUAUGUUAUGUUAAGAGAAAGACCGGUUGACCCAUUCUACGUCCCGGCACGUUGGAAUGUAGAGGACUAUUGGUGACAAUACCAUCUGUGAUAUGAUUUACUUGUGAUGUGUUGCAUUACAUAAUGG
rnacentral:lncRNA from 1 species